rnacentral:rRNA from 1 species
UACGUAGGGGGCAAGCGUUAUCCGGAUUUACUGGGUGUAAAGGGAGCGUAGACGGCAAGGCAAGUCUGAAGUGAAAGCCCGGGGCUUAACCGCGGGACUGCUUUGGAAACUGUCUGGCUGGAGUGCCGGAGAGGUAAGCGGAAUUCCUAGUGUAGCGGUGAAAUGCGUAGAUAUUAGGAGGAACACCAGUGGCGAAGGCGGCUUACUGGACGGUAACUGACGUUGAGGCUCGAAAGCGUGGGGAGCAAACAGG